GACGAACGCUGGCGGCGUGCUUAACACAUGCAAGUCGAGCGGAAAGGCCACUUCGGUGGUACUCGAGCGGCGAACGGGUGAGUAACACGUGAGUAAUCUGCCCUUGGCUUCGGGAUAGCCACCGGAAACGGUGAUUAAUACCGGAUAUGACCACUUCUCGCAUGGGUUGUGGUGGAAAGUUUUUUCGGCCAGGGAUGUGCUCGCGGCCUAUCAGCUUGAUGGUGAGGUAAUGGCUCACCAUGGCUUCGACGGGUAGCCGGCCUGAGAGGGUGACCGGUCACACUGGGACUGAGACACGGCCCAGACUCCUACGGGAGGCAGCAGUGGGGAAUAUUGGACAAUGGGCGGAAGCCUGAUCCAGCAACGCCGCGUGAGGGAUGACGGCCUUCGGGUUGUAAACCUCUUUCGCCUGUGACGAAGCGCAAGUGACGGUAACAGGUAAAGAAGCACCGGCCAACUACGUGCCAGCCGCCGCGGUAACAC
rnacentral:rRNA from 1 species